AGCAUGUGGUUUAAUUCGAUGAUACGCGAGAAACCUUACCAGGGCUUGACAUAUACAGGAAUGUUGUAGAGAUACAGCAGCCGCUUGCGGUCUGUAUACAGGUGCUGCAUGGCUGUCGUCAGCUCGUGCUGUGAAGUGUUGGGUUAAGUCCCGCAACGAGCGCAACCCUAUCAUCUGUUGCCAGCAUUUAAGGUGGGGACUCAGAUGAGACUGCCGGUGACAAACCGGAGGAAGGUGGGGACGACGUCAAGUCAUCAUGGCCCUUAUGUCCUGGGCUACACACGUGCUACAAUGGCCGGUACAGAGUGAAGCGAAACCGCGAGGUGAAGCAAAACGCAGAAAGCCGGUCUCAGUACGGAUUGGAGUCUGAAACUCGACUUCAUGAAGUUGGAAUCGCUAGUAAUCGCGCAUCAGCAUGGCGCGGUGAAUACGUUCCCGGGCCUU
rnacentral:rRNA from 1 species